AGCUCUUUUCCCCCUCCUAUUUUGAUGCUUAGUGUCUAAACUGAAUCCAAUGUGCUCAGAAAGUAUAUGUCUGGAUUAGCCUAGAAGCUGAUACUACAGAAGGCAGUUUGCCCCUGGCCAUGCAGAGUGGUGAACCACACUAGUUCCAGCCCCAGCUGUCAGGCCAGGAUUUCGCCCUCGCCCUUCUCCAAUCAAUACAUAGAACUGCCUGGUGCCAUCAGGAAGGAGCUGUAUUUUUUUAAAUGAAUAAAAUAGAACAACCAGAAUCUUUCCAUCUUUUACGUUACCCUCUGCUUUCUGCCCAGGAAUGGAGACCCUCAAAAGCUACAGCUGGAACAGCGAGAUGCAAAAAAAUCCUGAGCCUUCAAAGCCAGAUCGUGCAGAAGAGAAAGGGCCUGUCAGCUGAGCUGGAUGCUUCAGGAGCAGAGGAUCUAUCAACUGCAGACCAAGCAUGGGAGACGCAGGCAGACCUGGAACAGAAACCCAGCCCGCUCCAGCCGCUCGGACAGAACUUGGUAGCCGGAUGGUCUGCAGCAGGACACAUGCCACGGGCCGCGGGGCAGGAAAUGACCCAAUCCUCGAGGUCUGGGAGAAAAACCCUGAGAUUGGUCUCUUUUUCCCAUUGUUUGCAAUAUUUGUCAACAUGCACUUGUAUGAUUUCUCUGAAGAACAAGGUUAUUUGGAGAAAGUGGUCUAAAUUUUAGAACUGAAUGCACUUUGCUAAUUAAAUGUGGUUUUUGUGAUCUUAGGGCCACUAAAUCUAAAUAGCACAUACAUAAAUCCAUUGUUGUCUUGUGCUACUGUUCCUACAGGUCAUAUUUGAAAGCUUGCUGCCCACCAUAGGGAAAUGAUUUUAUUAUAGAAUCAAACAGUGGCUUAGGAUAACAAUUGUUCAGUGUCUUCAGUCUUGUAGGAAUUUAACCCCUAUGUUAUCGAUAUAGUCAUAUGCUAUAUUUGCCUUUUAUGUUUUAAUACAUAAUGAUGUAUUUAUCAGUCCCAUUUUCCUAAUAGGUUUUAUAUUCAAUAUAUUUUACAGUACAAGGAAAGAAAUAUUUCUCUGUUGUUUCUAUAAUCAUAACAUAAAACAUAAUGUCAAUAUUUCACUGUUAUCUCCAUGAAACAGUAUAUGUAUCAUGUUUCAAGCCUUCUUAAACAUCUUGACAUUUGAUGUUGUCAUUUAUAUCCUUAGAGCAAACUUAGGAGGCAAGUUAGAGCACAGGUCAUUAUCUCCAUUUUACCAAUAAUAAACAUGCACAAUGUAACACAGAUACUAGUGUCAGACUUGGGCUUAUGACUUGAGGCUAUGGACUCCUGGUCAAGUGCUCUUUCCAAAGCUGCCUGCAGCUACCAUUAAUGCUUGAUAAAAUUUUAGCAUAUUGUGUAUUUCCAACAUCUAUUACAACCACUAACAUGGAUAUAAGGCAAAUGUUGGUUAAUCUUAAUUGAUCAUUAGCUUUCUACUUAUACAAGAAGAGGUUACAAAUACAUAGUUCAGGCAUCUUUAUUUGGCCUUUAGCAUACCACAACUAGCUGCAGAAUCCAGUGUCAUGACAUACCUUUUUGUUAGGCUCAGAAAUUCAGUGAGUCAUUAAUAUGCCUAAUCAAUAGAUUUGCUUCCCGUGAACAUACCCUGUCAAAACAUAUGACUAUAUAUUAUUCACUGUAUUUAACUGUGUGUCACAAAACCAUUGUGUACAUAUUUAGUCUCCAUACUUACCAACAUUUCCUUUUAAAGAAACAUUAUGUAUAAGUUGAAGCAUCAAGAUGAAAUGCUUAAAAUAAAGCAUAAACUUUUCCUCUUUCUGAAAAAAGCACUGCUCCCUCCCUCAACCUUCUCGCUACUUCAGGGAUUCUUAACCUUCUCGGUGCUGUAAACCCCACUGCCAGUCUGCCAUAGACCUGAAGUCUAUGGGCCUUUUCUCAUAAUAUUUCUCAUAAAUGUAUGAAAUAAAAUAUAUAGAAUUACAAGGAAAACUAAUUUAUAUUAAAAUUCAGUUAUCU
ensembl:lincRNA